GGAGAUUCUUGGCUGAUAUCAGCAUAUCUAAUUGCUAGUGUAGGACUCACCUAUUGAGGCUUGCCUUGACGUGGCAGGUGAGCUGAUAUAUUCAAAUGGCCAUUGGACUAAAACUAAAGAGCCUCCAUUUUGUUUAAAUGUACAUGGGUAUUUAGGCCAGAGCGCAGGUAAUGUUCUCUUUGUUUUUACUAUGUAUUUUAAGCUGUUGUAUACUAAGCUGUUGCUGCUGUAAGCGCGGUGCUUUAUCUUUGUUCUUGUAUGUAUAGCCUCAGCAUUUUCAAUGUCUCCGAUCUCGCCUACAUUCAGCGUCUCCAAGCUCUGCAUGGAGGCGCUAAACAUUCCCCCAUAGAGAUGCAUUGAUUUAAUGCAUCUCUAUGAGAAGAUGCUGAUUGGUAAUUGAUAAUCUCAGCUAUGGAGGUGGGCCAGCUGCAGCAAGCUUUUUUUGGGGGGGUGGGGGGGCAAGUAAAAUACCCAUGUGAUC